rnacentral:rRNA from 1 species
GUACACUCCUGCGGGAGGCAGCAGUGGGGAAUAUUGCACAAUGGGCGCAAGCCUGAUGCAGCCAUGCCGCGUGUAUGAAGAAGGCCUUCGGGUUGUAAAGUACUUUCAGCGGGGAGGAAGGCGAUAAGGUUAAUAACCUUGUCGAUUGACGUUACCCGCAGAAGAAGCACCGGCUAACUCCGUGCCAGCAGCCGCGGUAAUACGGAGGGUGCAAGCGUUAAUCGGAAUUACUGGGCGUAAAGCGCACGCAGGCGGUCUGUCAAGUCGGAUGUGAAAUCCCCGGGCUCAACCUGGGAACUGCAUUCGAAACUGGCAGGCUAGAGUCUUGUAGAGGGGGGUAGAAUUCCAGGUGUAGCGGUGAAAUGCGUAGAGAUCUGGAGGAAUACCGGUGGCGAAGGCGGCCCCCUGGACAAAGACUGACGCUCAGGUGCGAAAGCGUGGGGAGCAAACAGGAUUAGAAACCCGAGUAGUCCCAUGA